rnacentral:lncRNA from 1 species
CCGAGGGCAUCCCCGCGCGGCCGCGCGCACCCCGGUCCGUGCGCGGCCCCGCGCGGCCCCGCGCACCGCUGCGGGAAGCGGAGGCGGUGGCGGUGGCGACCCGCCGGUGCUGGGCUCUCCCCGGAGCAGCCCGCAUCGCCCCCAGAAAACUUGAGCAAGAGGUGAUGUGUCCGACGACCACGUAGUUGACUUCCCCUAGCACACACGAGAGUGACAGUCAUCUAAGUUAUAGUUUAAUCCGAUGAACAGGAAAUCCUGGCAAACAGGGGAGCCCAUUCUGCAUGCCAUCAUUAGCAGUUGUAUUCAGGGAAGAAGAAGGUGUCCUGGCAUGAGAAAAUGGAAGAAAUAUGCAGUGAGAGAAGAAAUGAUGUUCUAAAACUGAGUCCUAUUCUUUUUUUUUUUUUAAUGUGCAUCAAAAGAGAAUAUUAAGUAGUGUCUACAAUUUAGAAGAUUCAUCAAGAACCCCGAUAAGUACAAAUUAAGAACCUGACUCUGAUCCAUCCUUCAUAUUCCUUGUUUUUAAUUUAGACUUCGACUGAGCCAGAGGUACAGGAGCGUCUGGGAAGAAUCUGAAUAAAAAAGCAAGAGCAGAAAUGGUGCA